rnacentral:tRNA from 1 species
GGGAGUGUAGCUCAGUGAUAGAGUACUUGUCUGGUAUGUAUGAGGCCUGGGUUCAAUGCCUAGUACUACAG